UCAUUUGAUUGCUUCUGUUUCAGUAGUUCAUCGAUCUCUUGAUGCUCCAAUAGCAGAGCUUGGUGUCGCAUUAUUUGUGGUUGAGCUUUUCUUUUCUUUGGGAUCUUCGAUACCAGGUUUUGUUACUUUUGUUCUAAUUUAUAUUUCUGAAGUUUAUAUUACAAGUAUGGUCAGGUACAGAAAGUAAAUGAGAGUUUCAUUUUCGUAGAUAUCAUGAAUUACAAUCCAGCAAUUUAAUCAUUAGGAUUCGUGAAUCAUGGCCGCUAUUUUGUACAAAUUUUGCAUGCUCCAGUUUAUGGAUAGCCCUCUGAGAACUUCUUUGUCUUGUUUUUAUUUUUCAGGGGUACAAAAAGAAUUGGAAUGAAUGAUUAUAUUCAGACACGACCCUUCAAAGUUAUGGAUAUUCCUACAGUCGACGCCUGCUGAUCUACAUGAUUUGGAAGGUCCAUAUGAGCUCCUCCUUCUGGUGAUGUUAGGCAGUGAGGUGAUUGGAAAGAUCUUGCUUGUCUCUCCACAUCUGGUGACCCAUACCUAACUGAAGAUCCUACGUCCCUUCAAAGCUAUGGAUAUUCCUACAGGUAAAUGAUCGCCCUAAUACAUUCACUUCGGCUACAAUGCAGCUAGCAGCACAAAUUUAUUUAUCAACCAGUGAACCUACUGCUUAUGCAAUUGAACAAAUGGAUGAGCUUACAUGUCGAUAGGGUUGCUUGUAUGUGCAUUUCUCCUGUAUAAGUUUGCUGCAGCUAUUUGAUAUACAAAAAUUCAGAGAAUGCUUCAGGUUAUGAGCAUCAGUGCAAUUAUUCCCGGGCAAACUUCAGCAGCUAGGUUCAGAGCAUGCUUCAACUCAUGAAUGUUAUCUGGAUGUUUGUUAUAUAUAACUUGAUAUGUCUUUGAUUUUAUACCUCAUGACUAGGAAUAUCAUCUGUCAUUUAGGUGAUGCUUCAGUUCAGGCAUGGCCAUAAGAAUUUGGAUGCCGUCAUAGGACUGCAGCUCCAUUUUGGUGAUAUUUUGAUUUUGUAUCUGUUGUACAAAAUUUCUACUCACAAAGAUAAUUCGGUGGUUUAUUAUUUAUAGCUUUAGGCAAUGGAAGCAGAUCACGCUAUAGAUGUCUUUGAUUUCUACUCACGCUGUAGAUGAUGAAAAUAGUUCUAUCUUUUUGGGUGUCCCAUGCCGAUGUUCGAACCUCACUAUGGCAUUUGGAGAUAAAAUCUUGGAUUGAUUUGCUAUGAAGGGAUAUAAUUGAGUAUUCUCCUGUGCAUAUAUUUAUCUAGCACUUCGAGUUGCUGCCUUCCACGCAACCUUGUGUUUUUCUAUUUCAGAGAUUUGCUGAGUAAGAAGAAAAGAUAAUGUUGUUCUGUAGAUCCUAAUUUUUCGUUCAUCACAUAUUGCCUUUUCUUUUAGCAUGAACAUUGCUUAGUUGCACUCUCAGCAUUGCCGAACAGGCCUUUCCACUAUUCAAGUAAAUGUGGUCAAAAGAUUUAUCUACUAUUUUAGGGACAACUCCCUUGGGAAGGUUACAAGGAUGCCUUAUGUUUAAGUUCCUAAUGGAAUGUUGCGUUUUCCGUGAUCCCACCAUUUGUACAGAGCCAUUUUUCCCUCAAGGUACAAUAAAGAGUUAGAGAGAUUGUUGUAUUUGGAUGUUCUUUAUGAAAAUUCAAAAAUAGUUUCCUGCACACCACUUUAUUUUUCUAUAUUCUCUCCUAAUUUAUUCAUGUACAUCAGUAUGAUUUUAAAUGCUAUCUCCUAAAUAUUUCAGUCUCUUGGGUUCCUACAUUUGUGUCCAGAUCUAUGUAACUAUAGACUACACACGAGUGGUGAACUUAAGUAUUGAGCGAGGGAAGAAAAUGUCACCAAGGUAACAUACUGAAACGGUUGAGGGCUGGUUUCUGAGAAAUUUACCGUUUACUACUCUCCUAAAAAGGCAUGUACUAACAUUCAGGGAGUAAGAUACAAUUAUGAACAAGCAACGCCCCUUCAGUUUAAGCAAUAAUUUAAUUUAAUUAGGUUGAAUUCAAUGUGUAAUUUUAUUCCCCAGUAUAUCUAUGAUAUGCUAUUUGUAUAGAGUUUUCUUCUUUCGAAAACGGAAGUCCCAUCAUUUGCUUGCAUAUUUGUUUGCCCACAACCAAAAUAUGGCUUUAUUAAACUGAACAUUCUUUAACUUUUGUGCUACAGCUGAGAGCAGGUAUUAUUCCCUCAUCAAGCAUGUGAUUCAAUCUAUUUGAUGUUAUCAAGUGAUGUCAUAUUGCUGAGAAUUACUGCAUUAUUCAAUCUAUUAGCAACAUUCAUGUACUAUUAUUUUGCCAAUGGUUUACCUUAACUGUCUAUUCCUAGAUUGACUUAGUGUUCUGACUUAUGACAACUUAUGGCUUCCAAGAUUACUUCAGCCCAGUACAUUAUAUCGAUGCAACAGUUAAAGGAAGAGGCCUACCACUAUAACUUCGAUGGGCAUCCUACAGAUUACGAGGUUUGAUCAUCGUUACCUGAACUAUCACUACUUCUUGUGUGUCACUACCUCUAGUGUCUGUUUUGAGUAUUGAUCUCUGAUCAUGGAGUCAUUGUGUUUGAACAGCUCUGCUUUAAACCUGAAUGGUACCCCCUCCCUGUGUUUAGCUAUUGUAAUCUCUGAACAAUGUGUUCAUGUACCUAUUGUAAUAUAUUUCCCUAUUUUCUCA